rnacentral:lncRNA from 1 species
UAUUACAGAACACAAAACUGGCUAUCUUUGCUGUAAAUACAAGUUAAAAACCGGACAUGGUUUACAUUAAAGCUAAAAAUCCCAAUCCCACGGCAUCAAAUAAUUUAAAAAAAAACAUAUGACCUUUAACAUUGGAGGGCUAAACUAGCAUUGAGCCGUGUCCAGGUCCUAAAUAGAAAAUAAAGAGAUGUGGAGUAAAUGUACACGGGACAAAAUCGCACACAAUAUAUAGAAAAAAUACAAAUUAUUAAUGAACAGGGCUUUUAUUCCUGUUCUUCAUCUUGAAAGGAGCUGGAGGGUCUUCAACGAGGAACUAGACCAUUGAUCCUCAUUAUACAAAAGUAACAUAGGUUAGUGCAUCGGACUACAAAAACAUAAGUUCCUGGUUCGAUCCCCGUUCCGGGAAGAAAAUUUCCAAUCCACUAUUAAUAAAUAUGUUUAAACUAACAAUAGCCACACACUUGACUUUGUGGAUUACAUUAUUUUUUUCUUCAUCCUACAUA